GUACAUCACCCCCCAGACAGAUGAAAGAAAUGUAUGCCAGAGGAAUUGUGAGUUUAUUCCUCAGUGAUCCAUUGUCCAGGACCAGUUAUGAGCAUUAUUAUGAUGGCGAGAGUGGCACUGGGUACUUGGCCUGGAGGAUUAAAACUAUUCAGAGAUCCACUAUAGAGACAGACGAUCAUCAUAUGGAGCAUCAUCUGAAGGGGCAUCUCAUGAAGAUGGGCCUGGAGGACCAGCUGCCAGACGAGAGCCCCAGUUUGUUCCAGAGACUGUCCUGAGUGAAAAUGAGUCUAAGGAAGCAAUCACGAUUAAAAAUUCAGCUGAUCAAGAAGAAGAUGAAGCUGACAUUUGACUUCCGCCGCAACAUGGUCCUUGACCCACAGCAGUUGAGCAACGUACCGUCUGUCUUUCCACGUUUCAAAGACGUCAAAGGCUUGGUAAUUGAUUUUCAUUAUUUUGACAGUGUUCUGAAAAUUUCAUAAUUAUGUAAAAAGUAUGUGUGUAUUUUUGUGAAAGUCCAACAAUUAACACAAUUCAUCUGGCUGUGAAAUCUUGAAGUUCUCCACUAUACUCACCCUAGGUAGAACAGGAUUUUGUUCUGAUGUUUGGGGAGGAUGUGUCUGGCAAGUUUCUGGAGUAAUGGACAUGACCUGAUUCAGAUUUUUACUUAUUUCCCUUUUUUAAAUUUCACAUCUCCAUGUUGUACUUAAUUUUCCAGCUUUUUGAAAAAGUUUGGAUUCAUAUGACUAGGCAAAUAAAAUAUUUAUUGAUAACAAUAUUACGUUGUACACAGCUAGAUAGAUUGCCUAUACCCUUAAACCUCAGAGCCACACUAUGUCGACA